rnacentral:rRNA from 1 species
UAGGGAAUCUUCCACAAUGGGUGAAAGCCUGAUGGAGCAACGCCGCGUGUGUGAUGAAGGGUUUCGGCUCGUAAAACACUGUUGUAAGAGAAGAAUGACAUUGAGAGUAACUGUUCAAUGUGUGACGGUAUCUUACCAGAAAGGAGCGGCUAAAUACGUGCCAG